rnacentral:rRNA from 1 species
UACGUAGGGUGCAAGCGUUGCCCGGAUUUAUUGGGCGUAAAGCGCGCGUAGGCGGCUCGGCACGUCCGUUGUGAAAUCGCCCGGCUCAACCGGGCGGGGGCAGCGGAUACGGUCGAGCUCGAGCAAGGUAGGGGGCAAUGGAAUUCCCGGUGUAGUGGUGGAAUGCGUAGAUAUCGGGAGGAACACCAGUGGCGAAGGCGGCAUCCUGGACCGGUAUUGACGCUGAGGCGCGAAAGCCUGGGGAGCAAACGGG